UACGGAGGGUGCAAGCGUUAUCCGGAUUCACUGGGCUUAAAGGGCGCGUAGGCGGGCUUGCCGGUCCGGGGUGAAAGCCCCCAGCUCAACUGGGGAAGCGCCUUGGAUACCGCAAGCCUGGAGGGAGGUAGGGGCGUGCGGAACUUCCGGUGGAGCGGUGAAAUGCGUAGAUAUCGGAAGGAACACCGGUGGCGAAAGCGGCGCGCUGGACCUCUUCUGACGCUGAGGCGCGAAAGCCAGGGGAGCAAACGGG
rnacentral:rRNA from 1 species